CAGUAAAGGCCUUUUUGUGCUUUCCACUAGUUCUCACUACUGUGUGUGUGUGUGUGUGUGUGUGUGUGUGUGUGUGUGUGUGUGUGUGUGUGUGUGUGUGUGUGUGUGUGUCUCUGUGUGUGUGUGUGUGUGUGUGUGUGUGUGUGUGUGUGUGUGUGUGUGUGUGUGUGUGUGUGUGUGUGUUGGACUGAGUUCACUUCCUGAGGGCAAUCGACGUUGAGACAAAUUGAAAACAGACGUUUCUCUCUUUCUGUGACUCAGUCUGUUGGUUUCCAUUCGUCGCUCGUCUGGAAUGAGACUGAAGAGAGGAGAAGAACAAGAAGAAGAAGGAGAAGAAGAAGAAGAAGAAGGAGAAGAAGGCGACAAAGCUGUCAAUCAUCUGAAGCUGAACCAAUCAUGAUGCAGAGGUGGAGCUACACUAUGGACGAGUGACAGACAGGAUGAAGCAGGCCUCUGAUUGGUCGAUCUCCCCGGGCAUGCGCUGCGGUUGGACGACUGUGAAAACAUUCAGGAGAGGAAUGUUCAGGCAGUAGUACUGUAGUACUGCAGUAUCAACGCAGUACAACUACACGAUUACUGUACUGUAGUACUGCAGUAUAAACACAGAGAAACUACCUGAUUACUGUACUGUAGUACUGCAGUGUAAAUGCAGUAAAACUACAUGAUUACUGUAGUACUGCAGUAUGAAUGCACUAAAACUACAUGAUUACUGUACGGUAGUACUGCAGUAUAAAUGCAAUAAAAGUACAUGAUUACUGUAGUACUGCA
ensembl:lncRNA